UGUUAGUUCUCCGGCAACGCUAACUUGUUAACUUGGUCAGGUCUGGAAAGAAGCAGCCAGAGCAAGGUGGUGUGUGCUUGGAGUAGCAGGACUCC
rnacentral:SRP_RNA from 1 species